rnacentral:rRNA from 1 species
AAAUUGAAGAGUUUGAUCAUGGCUCAGAUUGAACGCUGGCGGCAGGCCUAACACAUGCAAGUCGAACGGUAACAGAAAGCAGCUUGCUGCUUUGCUGACGAGUGGCGGACGGGUGAGUAAUGUCUGGGAAACUGCCUGAUGGAGGGGGAUAACUACUGGAAACGGUAGCUAAUACCGCAUAACGUCGCAAGACCAAAGAGGGGGACCUUCGGGCCUCUUGCCAUCGGAUGUGCCCAGAUGGGAUUAGCUUGUUGGUGGGGUAACGGCUCACCAAGGCGACGAUCCCUAGCUGGUCUGAGAGGAUGACCAGCCACACUGGAACUGAGACACGGUCCAGACUCCUACGGGAGGCAGCAGUGGGGAAUAUUGCACAAUGGGCGCAAGCCUGAUGCAGCCAUGCCGCGUGUAUGAAGAAGGCCUUCGGGUUGUAAAGUACUUUCAGCGGGGAGG